rnacentral:rRNA from 1 species
CGGACUGGAGUCUGCAACCCGACUAACCNCGAAGUUGGAUUCGCUAGUAAUCGCGCAUCAGCCAUGGCGCGGUGAAUACGUUCCCGGGCCUUGUACACACCGCCCGUCAAGCCAUGGGAGCCGGGGGCGCCUGAAGUCCGGGACCGCGAGGACCGGCCUAGGGCGAAACUGGUAACUGGGGCUAAGUCGUAACAAGGUAGC